UCAAAAGUUGACUCUGGACAGACAAAGUUUGCUAUACAGUUAGUGCGUUGCAGAAAUAUUUGAUGGAUUAGUAUUUAACAUACACUUGAAAGCUCUGACAGCUCUUUGAUGAUUGACCCAUUCGUCCAUAUUAAAUCAGAAAACACUUCAAAUGGAAGUUGCUUUCGUGCUUCUCUUUCAUUUUUGAAUUUUCGUUCAGACAAUUGUUCUAGUGCCGCUUGAACAUUCCGGUCUGCAUAAUUAAUUGAAGACAAUUGUGCUAUAUUUUUCGACACAGAAUUCCUAAAUAGAAGCGAUUCUUCUGGGUUGGACUUUAUGUGUCCAUGCUUGGAUUUCACAUCCAUGAAGUAGUGUUGUUAGGAGAAUGCCGACGAUGCUUCACAAUUGCUUGACUGUCAGGAUGAGACCCUAACUUUUGAGUACUGUAGUAAUUAGUUUUUUAAACAAACAAGUAAAAUACGUUGCUAUAGUUUCUUUGAACUCAGCAUAAUUAGUUUCGUUACUAAACCGUGGUAUCUUUGCCAAUUGACUGUUAAACGUUUUUUUAUCUAUAUAUAAUCCUAGAGCGUAAAAGUAUAAUACGAUUCUUGGGUGAAGUAAAAUUAUUAAAAUCCAACUUAUUACCUUAUUCAAGACAUUUUCUAAUUAUCGCCAAUUAGGCUCGCAGAUUUGUAUGUUACAGUCUUAGUUUUUUGAAUUUUGACAUGAUCCGAACGAUUGCACUCUUUAAAAUUUGUAUAAAAGAACGACAGAAAUUUACGAUGCUUAAUCAAGGAUGCACACACAUCUCAUCUCUAAUUUUCAAAAAUUCACUACAUUUUCAUAUAGACAAUUAAAUACAUACCCUCUAAAUUCAUUAAGGUAUAUAUAUGAUGGUACUCAUAUUCAUGGCUUUUGGACAACCUCAAACAUAUUUAAUUCAAUUGUCAAACGAUCAAUACAUUAACAAUCUGGCGACAAUUAUUUGACAAAGAUAUAUGCCGACAAGUAUUGUUUACAUUCGAACAAUAUAGGAAAGUGCACUGAUGCCCGUGAAAAUUAGACACGCAACAAAACAAAUUUAGGA